rnacentral:lncRNA from 1 species
CCCCAGCGCCGGCCCCCUUGUCAGAACCCCACCGAGCUCCUUCCUGGUGCCGCACCGGCCGGCCCUGCGCCACCUCCGGCCGCUGCCGACAUCUCACCACGCCGGUCGGCCUCUCCUUCACCAUCAGCGCUCGCCGGUUCCUCUCACCCCCCGAUCUGGAUCGGGCCGACCCGACGCUGCCCCACCGCUCACCGCCGGAGCUCCACCUCCUCCUUCGGUCGCCUCCACCACCGGCCACCUCCACACCGAGCCUGUACAUN